AGUCGCUUUGGAUAGAAGUGUGAAAUAAAUGAAAGUAGGAUCACACUUUACAUACAUGUAUAUUAUGUGGUAGGAAAAAGAGAGCAAUGACACUGAUACUUGGUCUCACGUUACAGAAGCCUUUAAUGCAAUAUAUGCACACAGGUGAACCUCCUGGGGAGAGUCACACUGAGAACAAGCAGAAUACAGCUAUUUAUACACCGUGGGGUGGGGAUAGUAAAUUUCCACUAGUACAGCCGUUAGUUCAGCCUCCGUGGCUUGUUCCUCUUGUGGAGGUGUAGGUGGGUUAGUUCCUUCUAUCCCACGGCAGCAGUUUCUUCAUUUGGUGUUGCUAUCUUAUCUUUGCAGGUACAGUUGUAAUGUGUCCUAGCAAAUGCAGCCUUAUCACUCAUCGCAUUACAUAUUUUUGCAAGCAAUUAUUACAAUCCUUAAUUCAUAGUUGAAAGGCAAAUAAAGGGCCUCACAAAAAGUAGAAUGAACAAUUGAUGAAAUUUUUUCUCAUACUCCCCACUCUUGAGACUUUCUCAAACGUCUCACCAACACUAGCGGCCUAAAACCCCUUGGGCAAUUCAAUUAGGGCCUUCUCCCUGUCGCCCUCCUCUGGAAUCUGUUGAUAAUGGGUGUACAUUUUCAAGUUCAAAGGGGUGAUGGAGCUCAGUAAUACGUGUUUUAAGAAGGGAAAAACCACAGCAUAGUAACAGAAGAAAGAUAAACAAAAGUAUUCCAAACAUCAAGAGAGCUCGUAACCAAUCCGCCCACCCGGAGAAAAAGGAGCCGAACCAGGAUUUUUCAGCUCCAAAAUUGUGAAACUUCUUCCUUAUUUCAUUGAUGUGGUCAGCAAGAUAAUUAAUAUGUUCCGAGUGGUCAGGUAUGUACGUGCAACAUUCUUUACCUAUCACUGCACAUGUACCUCCUGAUGCUGCUAAGAGGUAAUCCAGAGCCAUGCGGUUCUGGAAAGCUUCAGUGCGUAGUACAACCAUUUCAGCAGAGAUGUCUUUAAGAGACUUGGCUGUACUGUUAGCUAUGUCUUCUAAGGCUCUAGCUAGAUAAAUAAGUUGUCUGGCUGCUUUCCCUAUGCCAUACAAGGGAAAUGCAAUCAUCCAGAAUCGUUUGUUUUCAGUGAUACCAAUACCAGCUAUGUAACACGUGAUGGUCCUUUUGACCCUCUGAGCAGAGCUAUCAGGAUGCCAUUGUGGUUGGGACCCUUUCGUGAGUGUUAUUUCAUUUGGUGAAAUUUCAGAGGAAUGACAGUUCAUCGAAUUUAUGACCCGAGAAGUUGUAUCCUGCUGUUUCCCACGAUGGCCUAGUAGAGGUUCCGGACAGAAGCUUAGUGAACGUGGGGUGUGGACAGAAGAACCUGAUGAGGGCCUCUCCACCAGGGCUGCUUCCAGUGUUUCUUUCACAGGUCACGGAUGAGAACCCAAUCGCCUGGGAGCAGCUCUAGCAUGUCUUCCCGGUUAAGGGUUCACUAGUUCUGUCGCACGUGCUGAUGCACCUCCUUCAGUGUUCGUUGGAGACCUGAAAGAUACGAGAGUAGAUCAUCAUCCACAGUUUCCAAUGAAACUCUUCCACUUGGCAUGGGGGCCGGCGUUGGUCUUCCUGUCAGAACCUAAAAACAGGACAGACCCAAUUGUCUGUGUGUUUUACCCCUCAUAGCCGUUAGAACUAUGGGUAGCACGUCCAGCCACCUGUUUCUUCGCGGACUUUUGCAAGUUUGACUUUCAGUCUGAUUCGCCCUUUCAACCACACCACCACUCUGGGGGAUGAUAUGAACAAUAAUACUUUAGGUGGCAUCCCAUUCAUUCGGAGAGCUGGUGCACAACUGAGUUUACGAAAUGUGCCCGGUUGUCACUUGUGAGCCAAGCUGGGACACCCCACCUAGGCAGUAUUUCUUUUAGCAGGCACUUUGCUACAGUGCGUGCUGCGGCCCUCACCUUGAGAAGAGAUCAACAAUAACUAGGCAGUAUCUGAAACUGCGCGACGGUUUGAGUUCAAUAAAAUCCAUUUUUAGAUGGUUUAAAGGA